AAUACAAUCAUGCCUUCGUUAUUUUCACAUCAAUAAAAUUUUUGUCCGUGCCUUGCAUGGGCACUCACCCCCUAGUUUACAUAAUAAGAGACACAUUUGGUCUCAAAAGAAUUUAGAGAAUUUUAGUGAUUUUUAGUCCAAGAGAUGGCAAUCUUAAAAUCAAAAGUAGCAAUUAGGGGAAGAUUACAAAUGGAAGAAAAGAAUUACAU
rnacentral:lncRNA from 1 species